rnacentral:rRNA from 1 species
GACGAACGCUGGCGGCGUGCUUAACACAUGCAAGUCGAACGGAAAGGCCCUGCUUUUGUGGGGUGCUCGAGUGGCGAACGGGUGAGUAACACGUGAGUAACCUGCCCUUGACCUUGGGAUAACUUCAGGAAACUGGGGCUAAUACCGGAUAGGAGCUCCUGCUGCAUGGUGGGGGUUGGAAAGUUUCGGCGGUUGGGGAUGGACUCGCGGCUUAUCAGCUUGUUGGUGGGGUAGUGGCUUACCAAGGCUUUGACGGGUAGCCGGCCUGAGAGGGUGACCGGCCACAUGGGGACUGAGAUACGGCCCAGACUCCUACGGGAGGCAGCAGUGGGGAAUAUUGCACAAUGGGCGGAAGCCUGAUGCAGCAACGCCGCGUGCGGGAUGACGGCCUUCGGGUUGUAAACCGCUUUCGCCUGUGACGAAGCGUGAGUGACGGUAAUGGGUAAAGAAGCACCGGCUAACUACGUG